rnacentral:hammerhead_ribozyme from 1 species
AUCCGGAUGACGAGUCCGAAAUAGGACGAAAUACGCAUUGCGGAU